AUGGGCCGUUGACGCACAACAUGUCUACAGACUUUUGGGUAAAAUGUAUAGGCCAUGCAUUUAUUAGGGAAAAUGUUACGCUUUAGGUCCUUUAAAGGUAUAGUUCACCUAAAAUCAACUGUUUGGUUACCAACAGGGUGAGUAAAUAAUGGCAGAAUUUUCCUUGGGCAACUGGACACCAUUUCUUUAGUUUUAAUCAGAAACUUUUUCAUCUUUGAAGUGCAAAUGCUUUAUCUAUUUACAAACUCUACGUUACCAAAGCAAAUCAUAUAUCCCCAAUGUUUGUCUUCUGUUUAGAAUCAGAACCAGCGAUAGCCCAUUCACAAGUGAAUCACUCUUAGGAGCCGAUUUAGUUUAAUGAAUCGGUCAAUCGCUUUAUCAUAUCUAUCUGAUUCAAAUCGCGAUUCAGUUUGAAUCAUUCGAGCAUUUGCACUCACGCGUUGGAUUGUUCGGAGCUGUUUGUCAUAGCAAAACCCAAUCGGUAUAUUGUUGAGCACAGAUGAGAAAAGAUUAAGUGAUAGAAGAAAUGGAUGUUUACAAACGAUUGGAAUAAACGUCGUAUUUGCCACCGACCGAUGAAGAAACGUGCUGCUCGCGAACGACAGAAAAGAAACCCAGCAGUAUGUGUUUGGAACGUCAUGACAUUUCCUGCAGCCAAUUUUUGAAGAAGAAAGUUUGUUGGCACCAUGCUGAUGUCUGUUUUCUUAACUAUUCCAAGCAAUGAAGAUAUGCCAGAAAAUGACUCCACACUGAGACUUCAUCAUUUGCAAAUUGCAGAGCUUACAGUCAGUCCUGUAUGUUGGAUUUGAAAAACAGAUUGAGUUGACAUGGCCUGUUGAGUUGACAAGUUGCCUGGUAACCGUUUCCACUCAGUUCUUUCUUAGUGUUCAAACUGUUCAAUGUAUCAAUUUCUACUCUGUUAUGAAUCUGUUAUGUGUACUUAUACUCUGAGGAUGUAGGAACAACCUUCAGCACUUCAAACUGGUUGUAGAUUAGAAAUCUCAAUAAAUACUAAUCUUCUUUAAGGAUCUAAAGUAUAGCUACUACAGUAUAAAACAAAAUUAAAUUCUUAAUUAUGUAAGAUGGUUAUGUGUUGAAUUUCUUUUUUGGUUUUACUAGACAACAAAUGUACAACGCUAGAUGGUAAUAUAAAGAUUAAUCUUAAUGUUCUAAUUGUAUAGUAAAAUGUAAAGAUCACAAAUAAUAUUCUCAGAGGAAUUUUCAAC